rnacentral:rRNA from 1 species
UACGUAGGGGGCUAGCGUUGUCCGGAAUCAUUGGGCGUAAAGCGCGUGUAGGCGGCCCGGUAAGUCCGCUGUGAAGUCGGGGGCUCAACCCUCGAAGCCGGUGGAUACUGUCGGGCUGGAGUACGGAAGAGGCGAGUGGAAUUCUCGGUGUAGCGGUGAAAUGCGUAGAUAUCGAGAGGAACACCUGCGGCGAAGGCGGUAGCUGGGCCGACACUGACGUGAUGCGCGAAAGCCAGGGAGCGAACAGG